AGUAGUGAAGUAAUAUAUUACAUUUAGUUUCGACCUAAAAAUUAGAGAAUUCUCUCCUUACUU
rnacentral:tRNA from 1 species